rnacentral:rRNA from 1 species
GACGUAGGGCGCGAGCGUUGUCCGGAUUUAUUGGGCGUAAAGAGCUCGUAGGCGGCUUGUCGCGUCGACUGUGAAAUCCCGCGGCUCAACCUCGGGCCUGCAGUGGGUACGGGCAGACUAGAGUGCGGUAGGGGAGAUUGGAAUUCCUGGUGUAGCGGUGGAAUGCGCAGAUAUCAGGAGGAACACCGGUGGCGAAGGCGGGUCUCUGGGCAGUAACUGACGCUGAGGAGCGAAAGCGUGGGGAGCGAACAGG